rfam:Omnitrophica WOR_2 bacterium RIFOXYA2_FTLL_45_12 rifoxya2_full_scaffold_4143, whole genome shotgun sequence.
GGGCAGGUGUUGGAAUGGCAGACAAUGGAGACUUAAAAUCUCCCGUUCGCAAGAGCGUGAGGGUUCGACUCCCUCCCUGCCCA